UUAAAGCCACGUGCAGCCGCUGACGGAGAGGAUCCAUCUUUGCUCGACGGCUUUUCUUCGGUUAUCUGGGUUUAACGGGCGGCUUCACUCCGCCGAGGGCGCGCGCUGCUACCGCAGACACUAAAUCCUGUUUUUCAGGAGCUGCUUGAUCCAAACACUGAAGGUCGUGAUUCAAACCCCUGAAGCUGAUCGGUGUAACUGAUUGAUCCGAUACCGGAGGAUGUGACUCCCGAGCCUGACGUGAGAUCAGCGGAUGGUUUGUUGGAGGAGACGUCUCGCUGCUUCCUGAAUGUGAGUUCAUCUCUGAGAGUUGCAACAGCAUCAGGCGGCGCAGGACAGAGCGCAGAGAUACCUGCACAGGUCCUUAAUGAAAGGUGUGUUUUGUGUUCCUGCUAAGGUGCUUUACUCACAACAGAUUCAGAUGGCUGUGCUGCCCAGAGGGACCUUGAACAAGUUGUCUUUGGCAUCUACAGCGUUACUGCUGAGGGAGGUGAUGCCACCACCGCUCCAGCUGAUGCUGGAACAGUGACUGAAGGUGUCGAAGUGCUUCAUGACUUGGGAGACGUCGCUUCUGCAUGUGCGCUCUUAACGGGUGUCAUACAUGCAGUGAACCUCAGUUAUCCUCAGGAGCUGAAAACCUUCUUUGAGUUGCUUCAGAAAAUCUUCCUCCAGCUGGAUGGACCAGACUCUCAACCGAGGUACAGAUGCUUAAAAACAAACUGUACGAGUGAACCAACGCUGAGCGUGUGGCGUUUAACAUGAAGGCCUGCUCUGCACUUAAAAAACAUUUUAAUUGAAAAACACUUGAAAGAUUAUACACCUUUUUUCUGUUUUUUUUAAACAGUUGUGUUGUUCAUAAACUCUUGUGUUUUGUUAAUAAAGGAACUAACAAACGUUGAGUUGAGUUUACUAAAGUCAUUUGUGUGGAACCUGUUGACAAACUAGAGUUAAUUCAACCUAACUAGUAAAAAUUAAAGUUAGUGAAAGCAUUUUAUUUUUAUUAAUUAAGCUUGAAUUGAAUGUUUUGUUGUAAAAUCAUUAGUUUACUUUGAAUAGACAAAUAUGUAAUAUGCUGAUAAACUAAUUCGGUUAGUCCAUAAAACUUAACUGACUUUAGUUAAACUCAAACGUCUCUUGUUGGCUUAAGUCAAAAAUAUAAUUUUUCCCCAAAACAACCCCAUUAAGUUAAAUAACCUUGAAAUAUUUUUUUUUCAACUUUCAUAAUUAAAUUGUGUGAAACCUGUUGUCAAGAAAAAAUUAAAGUCAAGGUUUCAUUUUUUUGAGUGAACCGUAGAGAAUAAAUAAAGGUUUAAAAGCGGUUCUCACUCAGGUCUUCGGUCUGGUUUUUAUUAAAGUGUCUCAGUACUCAGAUUUAUUGACGCUCAGGUCACAUGAUCGCUUCGUCUUUGCAGGAUUUAUUUU